rnacentral:rRNA from 1 species
GACGAACGCUGGCGGCGUGCUUAACACAUGCAAGUCGAACGGAAAGGCCCUUCGGGGUACUCGAGUGGCGAACGGGUGAGUAACACGUGGGUGAUCUGCCCUGCACUUUGGGAUAAGCCUGGGAAACUGGGUCUAAUACCGAAUAUGAUCAUCGGCUUCAUGGUCGGUGGUGGAAAGCUUUUGCGGUGUGGGAUGGGCCCGCGGCCUAUCAGCUUGUUGGUGGGGUAAUGGCCUACCAAGGCGACGACGGGUAGCCGGCCUGAGAGGGUGACCGGCCACACUGGGACUGAGAUACGGCACAGACUCCUACGGGAGGCAGCAGUGGGGAAUAUUGCACAAUGGGCGCAAGCCUGAUGCAGCGACGCCGCGUGAGGGAUGACGGCCUUCGGGUUGUAAACCUCUUUCAGCACAGACGAAGCGCAAGUGACGGUAUGUGCAGAAGAAGGACCGGCCAACUACGUG